CCCUCUCCACCGAAGCCCCGCUGAGGCCCCACGCACGCACUCUUCGCAAACGCAGUUCUUCAGCCUUCGCUGAUAGAGAGUUGGCAGACUGCGGAGGGCGUUAGACAGCCCCAAAUCCUGGGCUGCCGGGAGGCAAUAAGAGCAGAAGAUGAAGGGCUUGGAGCCAGGGAUGAGCCUGAGGUCUUAGGGGAGGAUAGAGAACCAGAGAAUGAAAGCCGAGCAGGCUCCUUUAGCUUCUUGGAGAGAAGUGGGUUGAGAUUAGGAUGGAGCUGGCGGGGGCCUUUCUUCUUUAGGUUCAGGGGUUUGCCCAGGAGACCAGGGCUAGGGGUCAAAAAGAGCCAACGCCCAGCAGGCUGCCCUGAGUGCCACGGGGUCAGUCAGGCCCCUGGAAGGAAUGAUCCCGCUAUGGCCAAGUUCUGACGAAGAUGAACAGAGAGGCUCUGAGAGGCUGUCCAGCAGAUGAACACAUUUAACUGCGGACAUUUUUGGAACGUAUAGGAAAGCAUGUAGAACAAUUCAGCUUGAGCCUCACCAGGUCUUCCCAUGGUGCAGGCUCCACAUGCUCUGCCCUGGCCAGGUCUGCAGGGUAAUGGCUGCUCUGAGAAGGGCGAAGUCUGGACACAGACCCAGGCACACAGGGAGGAUGCCACGUGCUGACUGGAGUGAUGCUGCCACACACCAAGGAACCACCAGAAGUGGAGGGAGGCCUGGACAGAUCCUUCCGCAGAGCACAGCCCUGCUGACAUUUUGAU